rnacentral:lncRNA from 1 species
GUAAUCACUACGGACGUACAAAUUGCUGUCUUGUUGCAGCAAAUGAAAGUAUUAACGGAGACAAUUCACAGCCUUCAACAGCAACAAACACAAUAGCAGCAGCAACCAUUAGUAAAGGAGCCGGUGCCUCAUUCAGUGCCGUCUAGGCACAGCCGCCAUCCUCCAUGGCAUUCACCCUCCUUAUCUCCAGAGCGAUGACCAUUU